AAGCAAGACCGUGAGGUGGAGCAAAACUCAAAAACUUGUCUCAGUUCGGAUUGUAGGCUGAAACUCGCCUACAUGAAGCUGGAGUUGCUAGUAAUCGCGAAUCAGCAUGUCGCGGUGAAUACGUUCCCGGGCCUUGUACACACCGCCCGUCACACCAUGAGAGUUGGCGAUACCCAACGUACGUGAUCUAACCCGCAAGGGAGGAAGCGUCCUAAGGUAGGGUCAGCGAUUGGGGUGAAGUCGUAACAAGGUACC
rnacentral:rRNA from 1 species